AAGCCAUGGUGCAGACAAUCUCGCACCAGUUGCUUAAACCUCGCCCAUGCAUCACUGAGCGAUUCGUCGAUAUCUUGUUCAAAAUUGGUAAUCGGCUUCCUCAUUUU